UACAUGGGGUGCAAACGUUGCUCGGAAUCAUUGGGCGUAAAGCGCGCGUAGGCGGUUACUUAAGUCGAAUGUGAAAGCCCUCGGCUUAAGCUGAGGAAGUGCAUCCGAAACUGAGUAGCUAGAGUACGAAAGAGGGUCGCGGGAAUUCCCGGUGUAGAGGUGAAAUUCGUAGAUAUCGGGAGGAACACCGGUGGCGAAGGCGGCGACCUGGGUCGAGACUGACGCUGAGGCGCGAAAGCGUGGGGAGCAAACAGG
rnacentral:rRNA from 1 species